CAUUAUGGAUGCCGGCUGCCGUAAAACUCCAAAGAAGCAGAAUACAGGAAGUGAAUAUGGUUGGUGAAAAGAUGACUAGCUAAGUAACUGUUCACUUGUGGAUGUAUCCUUCUGGAAUUAUGUUUGCAAAGUCUCCGAAAAGUCACUUAUGUUCCAGGGCGGUUUACAAAUUUUCUGGCAGGGGUCACACACAGAAGCACUCUUUGGAAAGGCCCGGAUGUUAGCUAUCAUGGUAAACAAAGAGAACGAUGCUAGCUUGUAGCGAUGCGGAGAUAACUGAGAAUAACGUGAUUUAUGGAUUCAUCAUGAUGGAAUCACCAUACGAAGACACUGGACUUCCAGGCCUACGCUUGCACGGAGGACUUCGGUGAAAAGGCGCAUUUCCGUUCUAGCUAAUAAAAAAAAGAAGCUCUCACCUUGCUGCCAGCGUCUCUGACAGUCUUCCAGUCCUUGCUUCCACCCCAACACCUCACCCCGAGUGACAUCAGACUCCAGCAAUGAGCGGAAACACGUACUGAAAAUUAAACACGUAGCCUCACAGUGAUGUGCCCCCCUCACCAGCUGCGCGGCCCCACCUUAAAUGAGGACAGGGAGCAAGGGAGCACACUGGACAGCGGAGGGGAGAGGUAGAUGGGAAUUCAUUGAAGAAUUGGGCAUAAUGUGCUCUGGGCAGUCCCCGAUCCAGCUGUUUUCCAUUCGGUGGGAGUCCAAGCAGUGAAAUGUAGCAGGGGUGGGAUGGACAGGCAGACAAAGAAGUGUAGAAGAAGAGGAACAAGACUGUAAAACAUUGUGUGAGACACAACAUGUAAAGGUCAUGAAGAUGGCCAUUCAAGUGGCCUGGUGUGUCCUUUUUCUUUCUCUUCAUGCUUUCUUCUGUCUCUGGCAAACUAAGUAGAACAGUGGGCUCCAAAAGACACUCCCUUUAAAGGAUUGAGACUUGUUUUUAGAUGUAUCAGUGUUUGCUUUUGUUGUUAACCUACAUCUUUUUAGCCUUAUUAAAUGCUCCACAUUGUAUACACAAAACUUCCUCUCUGCAAUGUCUCCUAAACCUCUGGCCUAUGGCCCCAACCUAGUACAAAUUACCCGAAAAAAGCACAUUACUUUUCAAAAUAUACUGUGUUUUGUAGUGGCUUCAUAGCCAUGUUCAUCCAAGACUCUCUCAAAAACUUUGGACACAUUCAAUAGGUCAAGUAAUGGUCAAUCGUAGCUAUUGUGCUAAUUAUAAUCAGCCUACUUAACCUGCAAAGAAUAUGCAGAGCUAAAAGAUAUGGAGUUGUGCUCCUAUGCAUUGAGCAGGGAGCCAUUUACACUAAUUGAUACUGUACAACACACAUGGGCGAAGUUCUAAUUGUCCACACAUAUUAAUGUACAUUUUGUGUUACUGUAAUUCAUAUUCAGCAUAAAACAGUGACUGAAACUAUUUUUUAAAUGUUAAAGUUCGUGACCGUUUCACACUUCUACAGAAACUUGUGUGACUAAUGGUUUCUUUUUUCAAAUGAUGACAUAAUAUUGAAAGUUGCAUUAGGAGCCUCCAGGGAUGUUUUUCUACACUUUCUGGAAUUGAAGAGAAGUUGGGGAAAUCCAGAAAUAGUCAAAGCCUUUUUUUAAAGACCUAUUAUGCUUUUACCAUGUUUACUGUCCUAUCUAUUCUGUUACAAUGAUAUCGGAUUAGGGCUGGGCGAUAGGGAGAAAAUCAGAUAUCACGAUAUUCUUAACCAAAUACCU